rnacentral:rRNA from 1 species
AUUGAGCGCUGGCGGCAUGCCUUACACAUGCAAGUCGAACGGUAACAGGUCUUCGGAUGCUGACGAGUGGCGAACGGGUGAGUAAUACAUCGGAACGUGCCUAGUAGUGGGGGAUAACUACUCGAAAGAGUGGCUAAUACCGCAUGAGAUCUACGGAUGAAAGCAGGGGAUCGCAAGACCUUGUGCUACUAGAGCGGCCGAUGGCAGCUUAGGUAGUUGGUGGGAUAAAAGCUUACCAAGCCGACGAUCUGUAGCUGGUCUGACAGGACGAUCAGCCACAUUGGGACUGAGACACGGCCCAGACUCCUACGGGGGGCAGCAGUGGGGAAGUUUGGACAAUGGGCGCAAGCCUGAUCCAGCAAUGCCGCGUGCAGGAUGAAGGCCUUCGGGUUGUAAACUGCUUUUGUACGGAACGAAAAGCCCCGGGUUAAUACCCUGGGGUCAUGACGGUACCGUAAGAAUAAGCACCGGCUAACUACGUGCCAGCCGCCGCCGUAA